rnacentral:rRNA from 1 species
AACGAACGCUGGCGGCAUGCCUAACACAUGCAAGUCGAACGAGACCUUCGGGUCUAGUGGCGAACGGGUGCGUAACGCGUGGGAACCUUCCCUUAGGGUCGGAAUAACUCCCCGAAAGGGGUGCUAAUACCGGAUAAUGUCUUCGGACCAAAGAUUUAUCGCCUUUGGAUGGGCCCGCGUUGGAUUAGCUAGUUGGUAGGGUAAAAGCCUACCAAGGCGACGAUCCAUAGCUGGUCUGAGAGGAUGAUCAGCCACACUGGGACUGAGACACGGCCCAGACUCCUACGGGAGGCAGCAGUGGGGAAUAUUGGACAAUGGGCGAAAGCCUGAUCCAGCAAUGCCGCGUGAGUGAUGAAGGCCUUAGGGUUGUAAAGCUCUUUUACCCGGGAUGAUAAUGACAGUACCGGGAGAAUAAGCUCCGGCUAACUCCGUG